UUAGGGUGCCGCUGCGGCCGCUCUCUUUUGUCCCAUAAUGGCGGCUGCGAGGCUCCGCACCGGGCUCCGCCGCAAGAGCCUUCUGCCCUUGUUCGAAACCUGCCGCCUUCGAGAUAUCCUCUUCUUCUCCUCCUCUGUCAACGCUGCCGCCGCCGUAGGCGGCACCAUAUCACCAGAUCCCCACUUCAUGGUGGAAUACCUCGUCAACUCCUGCGGGUUCUCCUCCUCCGAGGCAGCCAAGUUCUCUAAACCCCUUGUGCACCUCCGAUCCACCAAGAACCCCGACGCCGUCCUUAACUUCAUGAGAUCUCAGGGCUUCGAUGGCGCCGGUAUCAGGAAGCUGAUAUCUGGGGAUCCCAGAUACUUAUGCUACAACGUGGAGAAGAACCUCGCCCCGAAGUUUCAGUUCUUACGCGAUUUGGGCCUAUCGGAGUCGGACGUCGUCGAUGUCAUCCGGAAUAACGAGGAAAUCCUCUGCCGCAACGUUCACCGUUUCCUCGUCCCCAAAUUGGAGAUAUGGGAAAGUCUCAUGGGAUCGAGAGAGCUCGUUCUCAAGCAUCUCAAGAAGUCACGCAGGUUUUUCUUCUCCAGCGCUGAGAAGACAUUGUAUCCUAACCUAAAGUUCUUGAGGGAUGAGUGCGGCAUUCCUGAAGAAAGGGUCUCUGUCGUCUUGAGAAGUUGCCCACAAUUAAUCUCACUGAAACCAGAGUCUCUCCGAGCUUUGGUGGUGAGAGCCGAUGAGCUGGGGAUGCCACGGCAAUCUCGGAUGUUCAUGUGGACCCUUUAUGUUUUCCACAACGUAAGCAAAGAAAGGUUCGAGGCCAAGGUUGAGCUCAUGAGGAGCUUCGGGUGGUCGGAGUCGGAGUUUUCUUCUGCAGUCAGGAAAAAUCCCAACUUCUUAUCCAUGUCCCUCGAUAUGUUGCGCAGAAAAGUGGUAUUUUUUAUCAAUAUAGUCGGGUACACCCCUUCCUUCAUCGCCUCCCAACCAACUAUCUUGCUAUAUAGUCUGCAGAAGAGGGUCAUUCCUCGGUUUCAUGUGACGGAGAUGUUGAAAUCGAAAGGAUUGUGGACUGGACAAUGCAAGUUUACAUCGAUUAUCGUAUUCUCAGAUACCAAAUUCAUGGAGACGUUUGUUCUCCCUCACAAAGAAAAUGUUCCUGAGCUGCUUGAUAUUUUGAGAGCUGCUGGCACCUGUAAAGGUAAUGAUACCUUUCAUUUGGCAUCGGAGGAUGAGAAAGGGCUUAGCUGAUGGUCUGAUUUGCCAACGACGAAGGGACUUUUGGAUUUUGUCCAAAUUAAUUCCAAUUCCCGAAGUGUUUUUGGCUGUUGGUAUGCAGUGGCUUCAAUGGAAUUUGAAAGACCAGUUGCACUGGGUUGAUCAGGAGUCACCAGCUCUUCUGAAAUGUCUUCAACCUCCUUUGGAAUUGCUAAAGCUUUUCUCGCAUCAACAAACUCUUGCAUGCCUCCAUAGGCUUCUGCUCGUCCACCCUUUGUGAUUCCAGCAACAGAUCUCUUCAUUCUUGGAGUUCAUUCUUGGAUUCGGUGGAUGCAACUUCUCAUCAUCAUAGCUGAAGCUUCUGCUCUACUUGAAAGCCUUCUGAAGGCUGCACAACUACAUUUCUCCAACAUCUGAAUCGAACUAAUUCCCUUGAGUUAGUCGAUUUGCUGGUUCCUUAAGAAUAUUUUGGAUGCCAUUUUAUUUGUUUGUUCAAGUAUUUAUGUUGUCGAUGUGGUCCAUGUUUCCCGCAUCAUGAACGGCGUGGCCCAUUGGCUAGUCAAUCUCGGAAGGACUGUAAAUUCUCUA